rnacentral:rRNA from 1 species
GCUUGUCUCAAAGAUUAAGCCAUGCAUGUCUUAGCAUGAGCUGAAUAAUAGUGAAGCCGCGAAUGGCUCAUUACAACAGCCGUUGUUUCUUGGAUCUUGUUUUACUUGGAUAACUGUGGUAAUUCUAGAGCUAAUACAUGCUAAAAAGCUCUAACCUUACGGAAGGAGCGCAUUUAUUAGACCAAGACCAAACAGGCUUUGCCUGGAAUCUGGUGACUCUGAAUAACUUUGCUGAUCACAUGGUCCUAGCACCGGUGACAUUUCUUUCAAGUGUCUGCCCUAUCAACUUUCGAUGGUAGCUUAUGCGCCUACCAUGGUGGUAACGGGUAACGGAGAAUAAGGGUUCGACUCCGGAGAGGGAGCCUGAGAAAUGGCUACCACAUCCAAGGAAGGCAGCAGG